rnacentral:lncRNA from 1 species
AUGUCUUAAAAUAAUAUAAAUUUUAACAUUAUAACGCUCUAAAACGUUUUCUAAAAAUGUUUCUUAAAAUAAUUUCUACAGCCCGGCAUGUGCACGCCCCAUGAUACCUAAGGUUAAUGGGGGGGACAUGUGAGAAAUGUGUUUCUUAGAAGAGGAUGUUUAUCAGUUGGGGUAUAAGAACCAGCAGUAAUAUGGGAAGUUUUGGCUGGAUUCCUAUUCUUUCAGUCUCGCUUUAUCGACUAACUUGUCAGAAUGGAUCGCACCGAUCAAUUUAAACAGUCUGAAGACAGUUUAUUUACAGAUUUAACACUGCUCGAUUUCAUAGACGACGAGGAGGACUUCACACAUUACAGCGAUGCACCGAAAACAACAACUGUAAAAAGACCAGUUACGACAACACACCGCAACGCAGGUCACUUCCCGCACAGAGCAAGCAGCUGCCAAGUCAGACCAGGGAUUAACCCAGCCCAGCUCUGUCUUCUCAGCAGGAAGUUUAAACUCAUCAAGGACUUUUGGCCAAUGGAUCUCUGAGGAUAAAACUUUAUUCACAUUGUAAUCCUUGAGAAUUAGCUAUCAUUAUAGCUACUGCUAUUAUUCCAAAUAUGUUUGAAGUUUAUGUCACAAUAAUAAAUGCAUAUUUACUUGUAUUUGAUCAUAUGAACGUGAUGUGAUAAAACAGUAUGGGACUGAUAAACCUUAAGAGGUAAACUAUAACAUUUAUAGUUUAUGUUGAUGUUUUUGGUGUUAUAUCACUAAAUUGUAUAUUGUAUAUAUAGAAUCGAUGUGAGACUGUAAAUGAUUAUGUUUUAUUGAUUCCUAAUAAACAUCAAGUACAAUUGUAAUUUACUGUUACAAUUUCUAAUUGUUACUUUGGUAACAUUGUCUGAUUGCUAUGCUGGAUUAUCCAUCAUUAGGGAGUUG